rnacentral:lncRNA from 1 species
GGUCCGGCUCCUUCGCUCCCACUUCCCAGAGCUCCUGCACCCUCCGGACCCCGCGGGGGAGUGAGCAGCCUUGGCACCCUGAGUCAGGGAGACAUCUGUGUGCACCUUCUUCCUGAGGGGCUCGGCUACUUUGCUGACCUGGUGACAAAUCCCCUGCAGGGAGGACUGAGGACUGGACGCGCUGCCAGCAGCGCUGGCUACUGAGCAAGUCCCCUCGCCCUGCUCCAGAGCUUGUCAACAAGCCCCUCUCCACCCUGUCCUCACUGGCUUCCUGGAUUCAGGGCCAUUCUUCCUCCAUUUGUCUAUCAAACUCUACUAAGGUGUGCAUUCUGUCAAGUGGCGGUUUGAAGGCUUUGCAAAUAUUAUCUCAUUUGUUUCUCAACGAUUUUAUGAGUAUGUUUUAUUACCGUUACUAAUUUUCUAAAGUAAAGAGUCCCCAAACCACACAGUUAUAAGAUGACAGAGCAGGGAUUUGGCAUUAGAGUGUGUGAAACUAAAAUAUUUACCUCUGAAGUCCCCAAAAGGCCAAAGGAAUAUGUUACAAACAAGUUGACAAGGAUGUUUCAAUGGCCCUGGAGUGUGGAACAGGGGUGAAAAACAGAAAUUUUGAUGCAAUGUUCUAAAUCAGGUAAAAGUGUAAGGUUGUGGAUGUACCAGCCUUUCUUUUUCUAACAAAUUUCUUCUAAGUGUUCUCACUGCUCAGUAAUCUCUUCCCUUCUCCCCCUUGUGUCAACAUCCGCCUUAUCUGUCCAGAGGCCCUAGCUCCUACUGACAAGUACGGACUGCAAUCUCAGGUCAUCAGGAUAGGGUGGAGUUUUGUAGGAAACAGCACUCCCCAGACUGUGACAGAAAGCUCUUAGAUGUUGUAUAUUCCCCUAAUGAGAACCAGUGACUUUUGAGUUUGAUCAUCUGAGUUUUCAAAUAAUGAUGCUAGAUAUUUGUUGUAUAUUUAUCUUUUAAAUAAACCUUAAUCUUAAUUAUCCAAACUUCUUUUU